rnacentral:rRNA from 1 species
AGAGUUUGAUCCUGGCUCAGGAUGAACGCUAGCGGCAGGCUUAACACAUGCAAGUCGAGGGGCAGCAUAAUGGGUAGCAAUAUCUAUGGUGGCGACCGGCGCACGGGUGCGUAACGCGUAUGCAACCUACCUUUAACAGGGGGAUAACACUGAGAAAUUGGUACUAAUACCCCAUAAUAUCAUAGAAGGCAUCUUUUAUGGUUGAAAAUUCCGAUGGUUAGAGAUGGGCAUGCGUUGUAUUAGCUAGUUGGUGGGGUAACGGCUCACCAAGGCGACGAUACAUAGGGGGACUGAGAGGUUAACCCCCANACUGGUACUGAGACACGGACCAGACCUCCUACGGGAGGCA